rnacentral:pre_miRNA from 1 species
AUGUGGCACUUUUCGGAUUUCAAGAUUCAAACAAGUCUAUUCUUAACCGGUAAUUUUUCAUAGAUCUUUUAAAUAUUUUGAAUUAUCAAUUAUUGUGACUUAUAGUACUUUUUACAUAGCUUACAAAUAUAUAAAUUUCAUUUCAAAAAAAUUGAAGAUUUCAUGUGCAAAUUCCCGGUCAAACUUAAACUGUUUGAUUCUCGAAAAACGAAAAGUGUCACAUAA